AUUGAACGCUGGCGGCAUGCCUUACACAUGCAAGUCGAACGGCAGCACGGGUGCUUGCACCUGGUGGCGAGUGGCGAACGGGUGAGUAAUACAUCGGAACGUACCUUAUCGUGGGGGAUAACGCAGCGAAAGCUGUGCUAAUACCGCAUACGCCCUGAGGGGGAAAGCGGGGGAUCGCAAGACCUCGCGCGAUUAGAGCGGCUGAUGCCUGAUUAGCUUGUUGGUGGGGUAAAAGCCCACCAAGGCGACGAUCAGUAGCUGGUCUGAGAGGACGAUCAGCCACACGGGGACUAAGACACGGCCCAGACUCCUACGGGAGGAAGCAGUGGGGAAUUUUGGACAAUGGGGGCAACCCUGAUCCAGCAAUGCCGCGUGAGUGAGGAAGGCCUUCGGGUUGUAAAGCUCUUUUGUCAGGGAAGAAACACCGGCUCUAACACAGUCCGGGAAUGACGGUACCUGAAGAAUAAGCACCGGCUAACUACGUGCCAGCCGCCGCGGUAA
rnacentral:rRNA from 1 species